AUUGAACGCUGGCGGCAGGCCUAACACAUGCAAGUCGAGCGGUAACACAGAGGAGCUUGCUCCUUGGGUGACGAGCGGCGGACGGGUGAGUAAUGCCUGGGGAUCUGCCCGAGAGAGGGGGAUAACUACGGGAAACUGUAGCUAAUACCGCAUAACGUCUACGGACCAAAGUGGGGGCUCUUCGGACCUCAUGCUAUCGGAUGAACCCAGGUGGGAUUAGCUAGUUGUUGAGGUAAUGGCUCACCAAGGCGACGAUCUCUAACUGGUUUGAGAGAAUGACCAGUCACACUGGAACUGAGACACGGUCCAGACUCCUACGGGAGGCAGCAGUGGGGAAUAUUGCACAAUGGGCGCAAGCCUGAUGCAGCCAUGCCGCGUGUGUGAAGAAGGCCUUCGGGUUGUAAAGCACUUUCAGCGGGGAGGAAGGGUCACUAGUUAAUACCUAGUGGCAUUGACGUUACUCGCAGAAGAAGCACCGGCUAACUCCGUGCCAGCCGCCGCGGUAA
rnacentral:rRNA from 1 species